rnacentral:lncRNA from 1 species
UAGCCGCCGGCACCGAGUUAGCUAAUGCACUGCUCCGUACUAUGAUGAAUGUCUGAAUGAUGAUGUAACUUGGACACAUCACGCCAUAGAAGUCUCGCUGGAUAUAACUCUUGUUUUGUACAUGCUCAGAGGGUGUUGUUAACGAUAACAAGCUGGGAGAUAUGAAAGGCAGUUUUUCUUUAUAUUAGCAAAACAAUUGAUGAAUAAUUUUCAGUUCGUUGUCCUUAGGAUGAAUGAAUUUUCAGUUCUUUGUCCUUAGGAUGAAUGCAAUCAUAGUUUCUUGGUUAUACUAACCGCAUAAGGUUUUCUUGCUUGUCAAAAAAAAAUAUCU